AGGUGGGACAAAUCGGCGAGUGCUACCAGAAAAAGCAAGCCAAGAGAAAGUUGAAAAUGGCUUUUCACCGGCCUUCCCAAAUCCAAAAUCCCAAUGCCUCUCAAAACGUUCUCUCUAUACCAAUCAAAAAGCCUGAACUUUCCCAGACACACACACACUUUCUCUCUCUUUCUCUCUCUCUCUCUCUUUCUCCUUCAUUUCUAAACGUAAAACCCCGCCCAACAAACCUCGCAACCGAAGGUUUCUCUCUACAUUCUGCAAUGGCUGUCAAGGGAAUCUUCUUCUCUUCCAUUUUCAUUGCCUCCAGUGAACAAAAUGCCCUUGGUCCGAAUGAGGUACCAUUUCGCCAUACCUUUGUAAAUCGAAGGUCGUUUUCGUGCAUUUUCAGAUGAGAGGCGUAAAAUGUAGUCUCUCUCUGUAAAUCCUCCCCCUCGUUGUGUGGUUAAAGGCAGACAGGAUGGAGCCAGGCAAUAUAUAUAUAUUUAUAUAUUUAUAUAUAAAGUUUUUUCUUUUUCACUCACAAAACUCUCACACCCCUUUUGUUAUUUCUGCUUCCUUUUUUUUUUCCUUCCUUUUUUUGGGUUUUGGUUUUUCGUGUUUUCGUUUUUUGCGAGACUGUAAAAGAGGUGGAGGAGGAGCACACCACUCGUCAUCGAUAAUGGGUAUCGAUCGUCAUCCAUGGAAAUGCAAGGAGGAACACAGUGUAUGAAUGAAGCAUUUUGGUGGCUUCAUAUAUGCUUUGAAUGGUGAUGGUGGAAAUGUUGUCUUUAACUUCAGCUACUGCAAAUUAGAGCUGUUCAUGCUUAUACCCAUUUGUUUACAAUUAGUACCACUUCCCCAAACUUCCACAGAUCAAAUUCUGCUUGCGAAGUGAUCAAAGUACAAUCCAAAGUGGCUUAGGAUGUCACCUUGAAAACUGUAAAACCUUGAAAUGUUGAGAGCCUUCAAGUUGAUCCCUGUUAUCACUAUCAACGAAAAGAGAAAGGUCAUGCUCCAGUUCAAGGGAUGACAUCCUCUGAAAAGCAAAAAGCCACUUCUGGAUUUUAUUUUUGUCUUUUAUCAUCUAUCCGGAGCUUUGACUAGAUUUUCCCAAGCAUAAAGCCGUUAUGACUGGCAAAUAACUAUCAAAUGAGGCUAAUACCAUUCAGGAUUUCUUGAAUGAAUCAUAGAUGAUCAAAUUUUGUUUUUCAUGAUUCAAUGUAUAGGAACCUUCAUAGCCAUGUGUUUUAUUAUGGCAAAGAUCAAAAUUAACUGGCUCAACUGGAACCAUUCCUGAAUAUAUGCUUUUGCCAAAA